CCUAGUGGUUGCUAACGGCUAAAGGAGAGCUAGCUUGCAGUGUAUGGGAAAAUUAAAGUUGUAUGGAGCUAUCUGUGGCUUCACAGGGAGCCUGAGCGAAGUCUGAUAAAAUGCCUCAAGUGAAUCAGCGCUGGUUGGAGACUGAAGGCAUCCAUGGCUGAAGACGACAGGUCCAAACCAUUCAGUCAGUGCUGACAAGGCGGUAGGUCGGGACAGAAAAUCUGCUGGAGUCUGGUGAGCUACCUGAUGGGUAACUUGCUCCGCUCUAUCAAACAAGGAGACUGGAUGAUCAGGGGACACAGGAAGAUGGUGGUGGACACGGCUACAAACAUCGCUGCGAUCAGGAACUUAGACCCUGUGUGUGCUCUUAAAUGAUGUCUGCGACAUACAUUUUCCCUUGGCCACGCGGAAGCCCUGGAAGACGAACAAGCUCAGCAGAGUCAACGCCCCAACAGCACCAAACUGCAAGAAAGGAGCUGUGGCCUGACGAGAGGCCG